rnacentral:rRNA from 1 species
AGUGAACGCUGGCGGUAGGCCUAACACAUGCAAGUCGAACGGCAGCACAGUAAGAGCUUGCUCUUACGGGUGGCGAGUGGCGGACGGGUGAGGAAUACAUCGGAAUCUACUUUUUCGUGGGGGAUAACGUAGGGAAACUUACGCUAAUACCGCAUACGACCUACGGGUGAAAGCAGGGGAUCUUCGGACCUUGCGCGAUUGAAUGAGCCGAUGUCGGAUUAGCUAGUUGGCGGGGUAAAGGCCCACCAAGGCGACGAUCCGUAGCUGGUCUGAGAGGAUGAUCAGCCACACUGGAACUGAGACACGGUCCAGACUCCGACGGGAGGCAGCAGUGGGGAAUAUUGGACAAUGGGCGCAAGCCUGAUCCAGCCAUACCGCGUGGUGAAGAAGGCCUUCGGGUUGUAAAGCCCUUUUGUUGGGAAAGAAAAGCAGCAGGUUAAUACCCCGCUGUUCUGACGGUACCCAAAGAAUAAGCACCGGCUAACUUCGUG